rnacentral:misc_RNA from 1 species
UUCGAGCGUCAUUAACACCACUCAAGCGCAGCUUGGUAUUGGGUCAUGCCAGUGAUGGCAGAUCAUAAAUUCAGUGGCGGCGCCGCUGGGUUCCGAGCGUAGUAAUCAUAUCUCGCUGGGGUGCCUCGCGGUCGACGACCAACAACCCAACUAUUCUAAUGGUUGACCUCGGAUCAGGUAGGAAUACCCGCUGAACUUAA